CUUUGGGGUAUUGCAAUGUAGGGGUUUCUGUUACAGGCAGCACAUCAUUCACCGCACCGUGAAGAGCUGGAGCUUGCUGACAUCCAGGGAUUGCACUCCUCGAAAGAUUUCUCUAGAAUACCUGGAACCAGCUGAACGCUAGCAUGUGGGUGUAAGGUCCGACUCGACGCACCUUCCCCCAAUGACCAGCCGAGACCGUACGGAUGCAAGAUGCAGAGGUUUUAUUGCGUGGGCCACGGGCGUCUCUAAUGUCCGAACACAAGAGAAGCGCCCCGCCAAGGAUGAUCUUGCUUAUAUAUAGUUUGAAGAGCGGGAAAGCGGGCUUUACAGAAGCAGAUUUGCGGAUUGGUUAAUUCAUAUGAGGCUAUUUGCGGAUUGGUUAAUUCAUAUGAGGCUAUUUGCGGAUUGGUUAAUUCAUACGGGGCCAUGAAUACAGGGGAGGGGUUUAACAGGGGAAUUUUGGCGCCGAAAAGUCCCUGAUCCGUUAAGAGGUUUCGAAAGCCCGGGACUUUUUGGCGGGCAAUUCAGAGCAGUGAGUGCUAUUCCGGGAACAAUGAGGCCCGGGACUUUCAUGGGUAGAGCUGGUCUGAGAGCACCAGGCCGAGCAGGAAGAGAAGGGCAGGAAACUGCUGGGGCGCACUCUCGUGGUCCUGUCCCUGCAGCUGCAGCACAUUCCCAGCCCUGCCUCUUACUCCUUGGGGCAACCUCCAUCCUAGGACCUGGGGAGUCAGCGCCAACGAGGGCGUCGCAGCCACCCGUACCCUUGUGGUUUGUGCGGCAUCCCUGGACCGCCCUUGCCCAUUGGAAAGCUACAGGGGCUUUGGGCGCCUCACCGACGGCCUCUGGCAGCCAUUACUCGAUUACCAUGGCUACAAGAGUCAUGCCCCACAAUGAACAACCAUAUUCCAUGUUGGUGAAAAGCAGUGGGAGUGCUGCAAACACGAAAGCUCUCCUCGGUGGCUGGGAAGGUCCUCCAGGGGCAGCUUGGCCCAACUGA
rnacentral:lncRNA from 1 species